rnacentral:tRNA from 1 species
CCCUCGGAGAGCAGACGGGAAAAGCGUUUUUUAAGUACUGUUAAUCCGUAGGUCCCUGGUUCGAGCCCAGGUCGAGGAGCCA